UACGGGGGGAGCAAGCGUUGUUCGGAUUUACUGGGCGUAAAGGGCGCGUAGGCGGCCUGUUAAGUCGAACGUGAAAUCCCCGGGCUCAACCCGGGAACUGCGUCCGAUACUGGCAGGCUUGAAUCCGGGAGAGGGAUGCGGAAUUCCAGGUGUAGCGGUGAAAUGCGUAGAUAUCUGGAGGAACACCGGUGGCGAAGGCGCAUCCUGGACCGGCAUUGACGCUGAGGCGCGAAAGCCAGGGGAGCAAAGCGGG
rnacentral:rRNA from 1 species